rnacentral:rRNA from 1 species
AUGGCCUCGCCGGCGGUGGCGAUGCGGCGCCCGUCCCCCACCGUCCUCGCCUCCGCCCCUCGCCGCCGUCCCCGCCGUCACCAGGAGUAUUCACCUUCCAACAUGGGCUCCCCAAGCUCGGCUUCACGGUUAAAAGUUACUGCACUUUUUGGGUGGAUCAAGGGAGAUAGAUAUUCGAGAACUCGUGAAUUGAUCCCUUCUGCUGAAUCGUACACUCUCACAGGGUCAGCCUCAGAGGUGGACAUGAAGCCACGUGAGGUAUCGAUUUCUGUUGUCUCUUCUAUUAUGGACAUACCUCCGGCAGAGUGGGAUGCAUGUGCAGUUGAUUCAGUUGAGCCUGAAAAGUUUAAUCCUUUUCUUACACAUGCAUUUCUCUCAAGCUUAGAGGAAUCAGGUUCUGCAGUGAAGGAAACAGGGUGGUUACCUCUGCAUGUUGUUGCACGGGACGAGAACCAAAAUAUUUUAGGUGUUGUUCCGCUUUACCUUAAAAGCCAUUCUAGGGGUGAGUUUGUAUUCGAUCAGUCAUGGGCUGAAGCUUACCACAGCUAUGGACUUGAAUACUAUCCAAAGUUGCAGUCUUGUGUCCCUUUUACUCCAGUAACUGGUCAAAGAAUAUUACUUCGGGAUACAUCCUACCGGGAUCAAGUUUUUGAUGCUUUAGUAAAAGCUUUGAAGAAUUUGGCUACCAAGUUGAAUGUGUCAUCACUGCAUAUAACUUUUCCAUCUGAAGGUGAAUUUAGCAAGUUGAAGGAUAGUGGAUUGUUGCAAAGAGUUGGGCUGCAAUACCAUUGGACAAACCGAAAUUACAAAUGUUUUGAUGAUUUUUUGAUGGAUUUGAAGCAGCCCAAACGGAAGAAUAUCAGACAAGAACGUAAAAAGAUUCCUGCCCAGAACUUAAAAAUGAAGCGCCUCCGAGGAGAUGAAAUAAAGAGCAGCCACUGGGACACCUUCUAUAGAUUCUACCGUAACACAACUGAUAAUCACUGGGGCAGAGCAUACUUGACGCAGGAGUUCUUUCACCUUUUAGGAGAAAAGAUGGGCGACAAGGUAAUGCUAAUUGUUGCUGAACAUGAUGAUAAAGUUGUCGCUGGAGCUCUUAAUCUUAUUGGAGGCGAUACAUUAUAUGGCCGCUUAUGGGGAUGCCUACCAGAUGCUCAUUUCCCCAAUUUGCAUUUUGAAGCUUGCUAUUACCAGGCAAUCGAAGCGGCCAUAGAACUAAACCUGAGUAAGGUGGAAGCUGGUGCCCAGGGAGAGCACAAGAUCCAGCGUGGUUACCUCCCUGUGACAACUUACAGCUGCCACUACUUCUUAGAACCUGGUUUUGCGACAGCUAUUGGAAAUUUUCUUGUACAUGAGACAGCUCAGGUUAAGCAUGUCAUCAAUGUCCUGCAUGAAUCAGGUCCAUACAAGGAAGACAUAUUGAAAGAAUUUGCACCUCAACCAGACGGUGAAAUGUAG